GUGACCUCAAAUCAGGUAGGACUACCCGCUGAACUUAAGCAUAUCAAUAAGCGGAGGAAAAGAAACUAACAAGGAUUCCCCUAGUAACUGCGAGUGAAGCGGGAAAAGCUCAAAUUUAAAAUCUGUCAGUCUUUGGCUGUCCGAGUUGUAAUCUAGAGA
rnacentral:rRNA from 1 species